rnacentral:rRNA from 1 species
UACGUAGGGCGCAAGCGUUGUCCGGAAUUAUUGGGCGUAAAGGGCGCGUAGGCGGCCAACUAAGUCAGACGUGAAAUCCCUCGGCUCAACCGGGGAACUGCGUCUGAUACUGGAUGGCUUGAAUUCGGGAGAGGGAUGCGGAAUUCCAGGUGUAGCGGUGAAAUGCGUAGAUAUCUGGAGGAACACCGGUGGCGAAGGCGGCAUCCUGGACCGAGAUUGACGCUGAUGCGCGAAAGCCAGGGGAGCAAACGGG